UACGGAGGGGGCUAGCGUUGUUCGGAAUUACUGGGCGUAAAGCGCACGUAGGCGGCUUUGUAAGUUAGAGGUGAAAGCCCGGAGCUCAACUCCGGAAUUGCCUUUAAGACUGCAUCGCUCGAAUCAUGGAGAGGUGAGUGGAAUUCCGAGUGUAGAGGUGAAAUUCGUAGAUAUUCGGAAGAACACCAGUGGCGAAGGCGACUUACUGGACACAUAUUGACGCUGAGGUGCGAAAGCGUGGGGAGCAAACAGG
rnacentral:rRNA from 1 species